CUGUAUUUCUAUACUUACUCUGGUUAGAGGCUUGUUAAAACGUUAAAGAGAAAUUGUGAAAAUAUGUGAAGAUUUGUAUUGUGUUUACUAUUGUUGUCAAUAAAUCUUAUGGCAAUUAAACUACUUUAGCGUGCAUGAUCGAAGUAAGAAUGCUGAUUCUGGUGCUUACUCUGGGUGUGUGUAGUUAAAUAAUGAGAAUGGAGUGUAACAAAGAUAAAAGAUAAUUAUCAUAGCACAGUUGAG
rnacentral:misc_RNA from 1 species